rnacentral:pre_miRNA from 1 species
AAUAGAAUAGCUAGGUUAUAUGAUUUACUUUUAAGAACUGCCAAACUCUUCUCCAAAAUAGUUGUACCAGUUUACAAUCCCACCAGCAGU